UUUCCGUAGGUGAACCUGCGGAAGGAUCAUUGUAGAGUUCCUUUUCAAAUAGAAGUUGUACCAAUACCCAUUGAGAACUAAUCGUUUUUGCUGUCAGCACUUGCGUUGUUUAGAUGGGUUCCCUUUGUUGCCUUCAUCUUUCUUCAUAAGUAUAGUAAAAAUAAAAGACCGGCAUGAUUUGUGCCAAGGAUAGUUGUUGUUGAGGUACAUUGCCAUCUUUUUGAUGUCUUUGUGUUACUCUACGAGCAUAUAUGUCUGAGCAUAUACGCCUGAAUGACUCCUGGCAAUGGAUAUCUUGGCUCUC
rnacentral:misc_RNA from 1 species